CCCCCCUAAAAUUUGCAAAGCAUGGGUUGUCUUCAGCUUAAUAAAGAAUAUUUCGAUAAUUUUACCUCAAACAAAUUUUAAGUUUGCCCCCCUAACCUAAAAUCCUGGAUCCGCCAUUGGGAAUAACAUGCAGGUAAUUUAUCCCAAACUAAGUUUGGAGACUUAUAAUUGUGCUCAAUUGUUGUUAUUAUGUCGCCAGCUUUCUUCUUUCAUACCUGACCUUGUACGCAACAGUUUUCAAAAACUGAAAGUCUGACCUGCACAGAACGCGCAUUAUAAAAAUAUUUUCGUUUCAACGUCGAAAUGACACUUGUCAAUAUUACUUCAUUCUUGAAUUUAACAUACUUGAUUUGUUAAUUUUAUCGGUUUCAUUUGCAUAGUCGCGAAUGAUUAUAAGAAAGACAAUGCAUAGUGUUACUACUUAAAUAAUUUUGGUAUCGAUUUUUAAUGUCCCUCUUGCUUACGUAACGUUAGAAAUACACAAUGAAAAUUUUCAAAAUUUAGUUUUUUUAAAUUCAUUAAAGUCAAAUCAACCUAUCUUUUGUUGUAGAUCGAUCGUUGUAAAAUUUUGAAGAUUUCCUAGGAUAUGCAUAGAAAACAUGUUUACCAAUUUCCAAACCUUUCCGUGUUAAGGAAGCUAAAAACGCUCGCAGAUUCAUCGAUCACUUUUAAGAGACGCAAAGAGAUACGUGGAACUAAUAACCUGAGAGUCCCAAUCAAGGUCGUUUAUAUAGAUCCAGAUUACUGAUAUGAUCAGAUGUUUAUUUCCCAUAUAAAUCUUACCACGGAGAAAGGGAAAAUUUAAAAGAUUACAAGAUGAAGACACUGUUUAUUGCCAUCUGUAUUUUCUGUGUGACAUUGGCAACAUUAGUACAUGGGUCAACGACUCCAGCCCCCACCGAAGACACUCAUAAUAGUGACUGCUUGCUGCCGACGACACCAGGACUUUGUAAGGGAUAUUUCCCGCGGUAUUCGUUCCGGGCAAAUACAAACACAUGCGAGAUGUUCGCCUAUGGUGGCUGUGGUGGGAAUGCCAACAAUUUCCUAAACAUAAAAGAGUGUCAGAUAGCUUGUAUACCAGUUAAAUAACCAUAAAGACACCCUUAUAAAAUCAUGUGGCGAUAUAAUUGUAUUGCAGUAGCAGAGUAAAAACUAUGAAUUAAAAACAAAACUCAACCAUUUUAUGAAUUCCUUGACAAAAUUAUUGCGCCGAAUUGAAAAUGAAAAUAGACAUAAAUUUUAUUUACCAAAAUGUUAAUCAAAGCAGUAUUGUUAUGUAAAUAAUAUGAUUAUAAGAAUUAUUAUACAGUUUUAUUGUAAACAGAAAUAGAACCUGACUGAGAGAACUUGACAACAUAGU